ACAGGGAUUCCCCUAGUAACGGCGAGUGAAGCGGGAACAGCUCAAAUUUGAAAUCUGGCCCUCGGGUCCGAAUUGUAAUUUGUAGAGGAUGCUUUUGGUGAGGUACUUUCCGAGUUCCCUGGAACGGGACGCCUUAGAGGGUGAGAGCCCCGUACGGUUGGAUACCAAGCCUUUGUAAAGCUCCUUCGACGAGUCGAGUAGUUUGGGAAUGCUGCUCUAAAUGGGAGGUAAAUUUCUUCUAAAGCUAAAUACCGGCCAGAGACCGAUAGCGCACAAGUAGAGUGAUCGAAAGAUGAAAAGCACUUUGAAAAGAGGGUUAAAUAGCACGUGAAAUUGUUGAAAGGGAAGCGUUUAUGACCAGACUUUUUCCAGGCGGAUCAUCCGGUGUUCUCACCGGUGCACUUCGUCUGGUUGAGGCCAGCAUCGGUUUUCGUAGAGGGAUAAAAGCGGUAGGAAUGUGACUCCUUCGGGAGUGUUAUAGCCUGCCGUAUAAUACCUCUAUGGGGACCGAGGUUCGCGCUCUGCAAGGAUGCUGGCGUAAUGGUCAUCAACGACCCGUCUUGAAACACGGACCAAGGAGUCGAACAUUUGUGCGAGUGUUUGGGUGUUAAACCCUCACGCGUAAUGAAAGUGAACGGAGGUGAGAGCCCUUACGGGUGCAUCAUCGACCGAUCCUGAUGUUUUCGGAUGGAUUUGAGUAAGAGCAUAACUGUUCGGACCCGAAAGAUGGUGAACUAUGCGUGGAUAGGGUGAAGCCAGAGGAAACUCUGGUGGAGGCUCGCAGCGGUUCUGACGUGCAAAUCGAUCGUCAAAUCUGCGCAUGGGGGCGAAAGACUAAUCGAACCAUCUAGUAGCUGGUUACCGCCGAAGUUUCCCUCAGGAUAGCAGUGUUGUCUUCAGUUUUAUGAGGUAAAGCGAAUGAUUAGGGACUCGGGGGCGCUUUUUAGCCUUCAUCCAUUCUCAAACUUUAAAUAUGUAAGAAGCCCUUGUUACUUAAUUGAACGUGGGCAUUCGAAUGUACCAACACUAGUGGGCCAUUUUUGGUAAGC
rnacentral:rRNA from 1 species